rnacentral:rRNA from 1 species
CCUACGGGAGGCAGCAGCCAGGAAUCUUGGGCAAUGGGCGCAAGCCUGACCCAGCAACACCGUGUGGGCGAUGAAGGCCUUCGGGUCGUAAAGCCCUGUUGAUAGGGACGAAGGGCGAAGGGUUAAUAGCCCCUAGCCUGACGGUACCUUUCGAGGAAGCCCCGGCUAACUACGUGCCAGCAGCCGCGGUAAUACGUAGGGGGCGAGCGUUGUCCGGAAUUAUUGGGCGUAAAGAGCGUGUAGGCUGUUCGGUAAGUCUGCCGUGAAAACCUGAGGCUCAACCUCGGGCGUGCGGUGGAUACUGCCGGGCUAGAGGACGGUAGAGGCGAGUGGAAUUCCCGGUGUAGCGGUGAAAUGCGCAGAUAUCGGGAGGAACACCAGUAGCGAAGGCGGCUCGCUGGGCCGUUCCUGACGCUGAGACGCGAAAGCUAGGGGAGCGAACAGGAUUAGAUACCCUGGUAGUCCUAGCCGUAAACGAUGGACACUAGGUGUGGGGGGGAGUCGAAUCCCUCUGUGCCGCAGUUAACGCGUUAAGUGUCCCGCCUGGGGAGUACGGCCGCAAGGCUAAAACUCAAAAAAAUUGACGGGGGCCCGCACAAGCAGCGGAGCAUGUUCUUUAAUUCGAUGCAACGCGAAGAACCUUACA